rnacentral:rRNA from 1 species
GAACGCUGGCGGCGUGCUUAACACAUGCAAGUCGAACGAUGAAGCCUUUCGGGGUGGAUUAGUGGCGAACGGGUGAUAACACGUGGGCAAUCUGCCCUUCACUCUGGGACAAGCCCUGGAAACGGGGUCUAAUACCGGAUAACACUCUGUCCCGCAUGGGACGGGGUUAAAAGCUCCGGCGGUGAAGGAUGAGCCCGCGGCCUAUCAGCUUGUUGGUGGGGUAAUGGCCUACCAAGGCGACGACGGGUAGCCGGCCUGAGAGGGCGACCGGCCACACUGGGACUGAGACACGGCCCAGACUCCUACGGGAGGCAGCAGUGGGGAAUAUUGCACAAUGGGCGAAAGCCUGAUGCAGCGACGCCGCGUGAGGGAUGACGGCCUUCGGGUUGUAAACCUCUUUCAGCAGGGAAGAAGCGAAAGUGACGGUACCUGCAGAAGAAGCGCCGGCUAACUACGUGCCAGCAGCCGCGGUA